AGCCCGGUCGUCUAGUCGGUCAAGGAUACGAGGCUUUGGACCUCGAGACCCAGGUUCGAAUCCUGGCCGGGCUA
rnacentral:tRNA from 1 species